rnacentral:RNase_P_RNA from 1 species
GCGCCAGACGAUCGCAGGCGUUUUUCGCCUGAGGAAAGUCCGAGCACCGCAGGGCAGGGUGCCGGUUAACUGCCGGUGAAGGCGACUUCAAGGAAAGUGCAACAGAGAUAUACCGCGAAUCCCCUCCGGGGGACGCAAGGGUGGAAAGGCGAGGCAAGAGCUCACCCGCGGCUUGGCAACUGGUCCGCGCUGUAAACCCCACCUGGUGCAAGAUUGAUAGGGAGGCAUGGGCGCUUCGGCGCCCGGCGGCGGCCCGUCGCGCCUCCGGGUAAUCGCUUGAGCCUGCUGGCAACCGCAGGCCCAGACAGAUGAUCGUCCAAUACAGAACUCGGCUUACAGACG